UCUGGAGCUCCGCUGGCAUCAAGGGGUCACUCUACGGGCGCACACAUCGCCCUUUAACAAGUCACCCUUGGGAAGGUCUGAGUUCGAGCCCCCGUAUCCCCUAGCAGGGGAGCCGCCUCUAAUCGAGGGCGCCGGCUGACAGAAACGCUUGGGCCAUUGGGCUUUGCAAGGAAGCUGGCGACCCAAUUACAGUUGGUUGCCAGCUGAGCAUUCCGAUGGAGACAAUUGAGACUGGGCUGGUGGCUGGCCUGUGCAGUGCAAUAUGCCUUGACAACUCAAUUCAGACUACGUAGCGCCAGA
rnacentral:RNase_P_RNA from 1 species